rnacentral:rRNA from 1 species
GUAUGUGGUUUAAUUCGAUGCAACGCGAAGAACCUUACCUGGUCUUGACAUCCCGGAAAUCCCUUGGAAACUUGGGAGUGCUUCCAUUAGGAAGAAUCUGGAGACAGGUGCUGCAUGGCUGUCGUCAGCUCGUGUCGUGAGAUGUUGGGUUAAGUCCCGCAACGAGCGCAACCCUUGCCUUUAGUUGCCAGCAGUUCGGCUGGGCACUCUAAAGGGACUGCCGGUGUUAAACCGGAGGAAGGUGGGGAUGACGUCAAGUCCUCAUGGCCUUUAUGACCAGGGCUACACACGUACUACAAUGGCCGAUACAAAGGGCAGCGACAUCGCAAGGUGAAGCCAAUCCCAUAAAAUCGGUCUCAGUCCGGAUUGGAGUCUGCAACUCGACUCCAUGAAGUUGGAAUCGCUAGUAAUCGUGGAUCAGCAUGCCACGGUGAAUACGUUCCCGGGCCUU